UACAUCAGUAGUAAAAUAACAGGGUAAAAAGAAGGUCUAACAAUGAGGGAAAACUUCAAGGCAAUGCCAAUCAAUGCCACAAAAGGAAGGCUGGGAUCAAUUAGAUCCAGAUGAAAACAUCAUUAUCCAGUGUCCUUCCUACAACCAGAAUGAAGCUGAUUCCAAGUGUCCAGCCAUCUCUUACUGAGGAAGUAGAAGACAACUGAACAUGGUCCCGUGUUCUUCUCAUCUCGGCGAACGGCACCGACAUUCAUCUGGCGGCUCAGGCUCUGGACAUGGGAGCCUUUCCAGACACUUCCUUCUUCCUCGCCACCCUGUCCCCAACACGCCUCCUACAGCGAACGACUAAAGGCUCAUGAUUCUCCUUUUAGGAUA